rnacentral:rRNA from 1 species
UACGUAGGGGGGCAAGCGUUGUCCGGAUUUAUUGGGCGUAAAGAGCGUGUAGGCGGCCGUACAGGUCAGCUGUGAAAACUCGAGGCUCAACCUCGAGACGCCGGUGGAAACCAUCAGACUAGAGUCCGGAAGAGGAGAGUGGAAUUCCUGGUGUAGCGGUGAAAUGCGCAGAUAUCAGGAAGAACACCCGUGGCUAAGGCGGCUCUCUAGUACGGUACUGACGCUGAGACGCGAAAGCGUGGGGAGCGAACAGG